GGGGGAUAUUGCACAAUGGGGGAAACCCUGAUGCAGCGAUGCCGCGUGGAGGAAGAAGGUUUUCGGAUUGUAAACUCCUGUCGUAAGGGAAGAGGAAGGACUGUACCUUACAAGAAAGCUCCGGCUAACUACGUGCCAGCAGCCGCGGUAAUACGUAGGGAGCGAGCGUUGUCCGGAAUGACUGGGUGUAAAGGGAGCGUAGGCGGGAUGGCAAGUCAGAUGUGAAACCUGAGGGCUCAACCUUCAGACUGCAUUUGAAACUGCUGUUCUUGAGUGAAGUAGAGGUAAGCGGAAUUCCUGGUGUAGCGGUGAAAUGCGUAGAGAUCAGGAGGAACAUCGGUGGCGAAGGCGGCUUACUGGGCUUUUACUGACGCUGAGGCUCGAAAGCGUGGGGAGCAAACAGGAUUAGAUACCCUGGUAGUCCACGCUGUAAACGAUGAUUACUAGGUGUGGGGGGAUUGACCCCUUCCGUGCCGCAGUUAACACAAUAAGUAAUCCACCUGGGGAGUACGACCGCAAGGUUGAAACUCAAAGGAAUUGACGGGGGCCCGCACAAGCAGUGGAGUAUGUGGUUUAAUUCGAAGCAACGCGAAGAACCUUACCAGGUCUUGACAUCGAGUGACGUAUCCAGAGAUGGAUAUUUCCUUCGGGACACAAAGACAGGUGGUGCAUGGUUGUCGUCAGCUCGUGUCGUGAGAUGUUGGGUUAAGUCCCGCAACGAGCGCAACCCUUAUCAUUAGUUGCUACGCAAGAGCACUCUAAUGAGACUGCCGUUGACAAAACGGAGGAAGGUGGGGAUGACGUCAAAUCAUCAUGCCCUUUAUGACCUGGGCUACACACGUACUACAAUGGCGUUUAACAAAGAGAAGCAAGACCGCGAGGUGGAGCAAAACUCAAAAACAACGUCUCAGUUCAGAUUGCAGGCUGCAACUCGCCUGCAUGAAGUCGGAAUUGCUAGUAAUCGCGGAUCAGCAUGCCGCGGUGAAUACGUUCCCG
rnacentral:rRNA from 1 species